UACGUAGGUGGCAAGCGUUGUCCGGAUUUAUUGGGUUUAAAGGGUGCGUAGGCGGUCUAUUCAGUCAGUUGUGAAAUACGGCAGCUCAACUGUCGAGGUGCAAUUGAUACUGAUGGACUUGAGUACUGAUGAGGUAAGCGGAAUGGACGGUGUAGCGGUGAAAUGCUUAGAUAUCGUCCAGAACACCGAUAGCGAAGGCAGCUUACUAAGGAGUAACUGACGCUGAGGCACGAAAGUGUGGGGAGCAAACAGG
rnacentral:rRNA from 1 species